CUUCAAGGAAACCUUUGAUCACAUUUAUAACACAGUUGAAUUGGAAAUCAACAAAACUUGAAGUGUAGUUGUCAGUUUCCAGUACGUAAUCACAGCAAAAAAAGCUUCGUUCAGAAUAUUGCGCUUGGUGUCCCUUUCAACUCGAAGGCGUAUAAGCUAUAGAAAAAAGUCAACAGACGAAGCGGACUCUCUGUAGCUGCUGAGGACAUACUGACGAGUUGCGCAUGGGUUUGGGAUGAGAUUGCCAAACCAUCUGCAAUUGUGGAUACUGCUUCUGUUACUUGCAUUAUCAGACUGCAAAAUACACUGUGGUAAUAACAAGUGGGGAACUGAUUGCAGCAAAUCCUGUCCGGAGAAUUGCAAAGACCU